CGACGUGGGUAACCUGCCUCAUACAGGGGAUAACAGUUAGAAAUGACUGCUAAUACCGCAUAAGCGCACAGUGCUGCAUGGCACAGUGUGAAAAACUCCGGUGGUAUGAGAUGGACCCGCGUCUGAUUAGCUGGUUGGUGAGGUAACGGCUCACCAAGGCGACGAUCAGUAGCCGGCUUGAGAGAGUGAACGGCCACAUUGGGACUGAGACACGGCCCAAACUCCUACGGGAGGCAGCAUG
rnacentral:rRNA from 1 species